UUAAUUUGUUUUUAUUAAGAAGACAGAUACUUUAUAGUACUUCUUUCUCUUUUGUAAAAAUGGUAUACAUGAACCAAUACAAAAUGUGAAUGGGAAGAGAUGGUUAUGCGUUUUCUUACACUGUAACAUCAUCCAUGGACACCUUAAACAGAAUCGGCCUAAGGGGGCGAAAUUAAAACAGGUCAAAGGGCGAGUCAAGAACAAGCUUAUUUGGCAUUUCCCUCCUCCACUUUCCUUUUUGUUCCGUCUGAAGGAAAAGGAAAAGGGGGAAACUAUAAAACCACCUCCGGAUGACCAAAGCCCCCAAAAACAAGUUUGUUCUUUCUCAACUCCUAACUCUUGGAAUCUAAGCCUGCACAAAUCAAUAGCUAACAAUACAUUUCAAACAGUGCACGUCACACUUGCAGGAACAACCACCGCCGCCCCCCCCCUCCUCAAAAGAGCCUCCUUCCCGAGCGGUGGCGGGAGACCACCGCCCAUCCUUUCCCUGGGUGGGGGGAGGGGUUGCUCCUGGCGGUCUCUUCCAAGGUGUGGGAUCCAAAAAGUUUGCAAUCUACCUGAGACGGAAACACCAAUCAAAACACGUGAACCUGAGACAUCUCAACAGUAUUAAGUCAAAAGUUACAUCGGGAACACGGCACCACUGUACACUUUCCAAAACAAAGAUGAGCCGCUCAGCGCAGAGGAUGUGCCAGUUCUGGGAUCGGUGGUGGUUAAAAAAAGGCCCCCCUCCCUCUUGAAAAUCGUUCAGAAGCUGUCCAUGGCCUGCCUGCCAGUGUGCCCCCCCCCCCCCGACUGGGGUCUCCGGUGGGUCCGAAGGCUGAGAAACAAGAUGGCGUGGUACAAAACGGGUUGUGGAGGGCAAAGGCCGGGUUUGGGGUUCAUGGCUUAAGGAUGGCAAGGUUGGGGGGGGGGGGGAAGGUUGUCGGGGGAGGGGAGAUGGGAAGGUUCUUUUAAAAAGGACGGGAUUCGCGUGCCAAAUUCUUCAGCGAAAGGUUAACAUCUAAAUGUUUCUGCCAAUAAUUUAAAAAUAAAUAUUUUCAAAAGCCUUUCUUUUCUUUUAAAAAAAAGAUGUUGACGUAAAGAGAUGAUAGUCUCUCUCUCUCUCUCUCCCUCCCACCCUCCCCGCGAUAAAUCUUUGCAAGUAUAUAACAGGACAGCCAUACAAAUCUAUCAGUCAAUAUCCUUUUAAGUGCUUCCCUGUAAGCCAACCCUGUUCCCAAUGUGGAUUCUUCCUGGAGAGACCCGGUGGCCCAAGGGCAGUGGUUCUCAACCUGAGCAACUUUAAGACAAGGGGACUUCAACUCCCAGAAUUCCAGCGUUGUGUUGCUGCUGGGGAAUUCUGGGAAAUGAAGUCCACGUGUCUUAAAGUUGCUAAGGUUGGGAAACACCGCCUUAGAUGAUUCUGGAGCAAGGCUUCCUCCCUCCGUCCUUCCCUGGGCUUUCUGAGAGGGAGGUGCCUCCGUUUCCAGCCUUGGGGAAGAGAAGAAAGCUUCCCAGAGCUUCAGGUGUCCAACCCCCAUCAGGAAAACGUGGUGUUGGUUGUCUCUUCCCUACUUCUACCACCAUGGGAAGAUUGAUAAAUUAUCGGUAGGUGGAGGUUGGGCCUGGGGAAGGGAACUAAGACUCCAUUUGGAAGCUGUAGUCAGGGAAAAAGAAAAUAAUAUUUCUCUGUCUCUCUCUCUCUCUCUCUCUGUCUGUCUUACACACCCCACUCAGCCUGAAAAAAAUUGGAUCCAGUAAAUGAAGUGCUUCUGCGCCAGCCGCUGCGCUGAUUUCCUGGGGACAGAGGCUCAGUGGCCGUCCAGCCGGAGAGCAAGGCUCGCUUCUCUUCCAUCCCCACUCUGCUUUUUGUCCUACAAUCACAUCCAAAGGCGUGGCAAGCAGCCUUGGUGACUUCGGGGCGUCCAAUAUGGGUCACGCAUGGGGUUUGCAGGCCGAGAGCACAGCGUGACUUCUGUCGCCAAGCGCCAAGGGAAGAAGGGGUCAAACGAGGCCGAAAGAAUACGCAGAACCAAAACGGGGAGGAAAAUUUUUUAAAAAGCAAAAGUGUGGACGAGUGUGGCCGAUUCAGAGAGUUUUCUGUCUCCAGCAAAUGACAGCGGUGCUGGGCCAAAAUGGGAGCCACCGACGGGACCUUUGGGAACCAAAAUAACCAGAGCCAAACUCAGCCUUUCCUCCCCCUUGUGUGACCGGGGUUUGUAAUGUUGUCCGCAAAGGAUCUGCGCCCCCCCGUUCACGGCAACCGUUUCGGGGAAGAUCUUGGGCGAGACUCAGGAGUGCGGAGAAGCACGGAAGGGAAGGAGGUUUGGCUCCCUAGGCACACACUUUGCUCGCAGGUGCUCAAGUCAGCACACUGGGGGCUCUCGGUGAGAAGCAGCACCGGCCCAGGUGCUCGUCUUUGCGCACUGGAAACUGAGGCAGCGGCUGCCCCUCCUCCUACAAAGCCUAUUGGUCCAAGCUCUCACAACAAGGGAUUAUGAUGGAUGAUGGGUACACUCAGUUUCAAACAAUGAAAUCUAAGGUGUGCUGGUUCUCCUUUGAUGACACGGUUUCAAACAACAACAACAAAAUAGAACCCAGAAUCUCAAACAAAAAGAAAACAAAAAAAAGAGGAGGAGAAGAAGAAAUAGUAGAAGAAGAGAAAAACUAACAAAACCGAAGAAGUUUUUUUUAAAAAAAUAAUAAUAAUAACCAACCAGCCCAAAUCUUUUCUCAAGGGAUUCCAGCAGACAAUUCCAAGAAAGGCUAGGAAGAAGAAACGAGAAAGGUAAGAACUGUAUGAAACUGUAGGAUCUCUCCCCCCCUCCGCCCUCCCCUCCCUCCAAUGAAAUAAAAAAUAAAACAAGGCACAGAAUUUUCUGUAAAUGAUGGAACUAAACUAAAUCCAAGCUGAACUUGGCCAGAGAAUUAACAACCCAAUGAUACAGAAGUGUCACACAGCAGAGUGUACUUGACAAAGGACACCUUUUCUUUUUUUUACGUUGGGACUCCUCAACUCCCACACAUUUGCCAGCCAUAAAUUUAGAAAAUAAAAAGAAAGGAAAGGAAAGGAAAGG